rnacentral:rRNA from 1 species
AGGUGUGAUCAUACCAGCGUUAAUGCAUUGGAUCCCAUCGAAACUCUACAGUUAAGAAGGCUUGGGAUAAAGUAGUACUUGGAUGGGUGACCUCCCGAGAAGUCCUAGUGUUGCACCCU